rnacentral:rRNA from 1 species
GAUGAACGCUGGCCGCGUGCUUAACAUAUGCUAGUCGAACGAUGAAGCCCAGCUUGCUGGGUGGAUUAGUUGCUAACGGGUGAGUAACACGUUAGUAACCUGCCCUUGACUCUGGGAUAAGCCUGUGAUACUGGGUCUAAUACUGGAUAUGACUUCUCAUCGCCUGGUUGUGGGUGGAAAGAUUUAUUGGUCUUGGAUGGACUCGCGGCCUAUCAGCUUGUUGGUGAGGUAAUGGCUCACCAAGGCGACGACGGGUACCCGGCCUGAGAGGGUGGCCGGCCACACUGGGACUGAGACACGGGCAAGACUCCUACGGGAGGCAGCAGUGGGGAAUAUUGCACAAUGGGCGCAAGCCUGAUGCAGCGACGCCGCGUGAGGGAUGACGGCCUUCGGGUUGUAAACCUCUUUCAGUAGGGAAGAAGCGAGAGUGACGGUACCUGCAGAAGAAGCGCGGGCUAACUACGUG